CCAGUCCACAUCCGCUCUCACCCGAGAGAGAAAUUCAGCUGGAUCCAAAGUGACUAAUGAAGGGAAGGAAAUCAUGUCAAGCGAAGCCUUGAAAAAGCUGCCCUGAGACGCUGUCCCGCCGAAAGGCGCGAACCGCUGCCGGGUUCUGGCGCGCCCUUUCAGUUCUGCUUGUCACCGGCACCACUGCGUUACCCCAAACCGCCGGGCCGAGCAGCAUGACCUCCGCCUUGGAGAACUACGUCAACCGAACUGUUGCCGUUAUUACAUCUGAUGGGAGAAUGAUUGUGGGAACACUGAAAGGGUUUGACCAGACCAUUAAUUUGAUUUUGGAUGAAAGCCAUGAGCGAGUAUUCAGCUCUUCACAGGGGGUAGAGCAAGUGGUACUGGGAUUAUACAUUGUAAGAGGUGACAACGUUGCAGUCGUUGGAGAAAUUGAUGAAGAAACAGAUUCUGCGCUUGAUUUGGGGAAUAUUCAAGCAGAGCCUUUAAAUUCUGUAGCACACUGAGGAAAAACUACAUACUUGGACACCUGUAAAUCUUUGUACAGAAACUGAUUACUCUGAGGAUGAUAUAUGGAAUUUUUAUGAAUGUGUAACUGGAUUUUGACUCCUUAUUGAUUCAUUGUAAUAUGUAAAUUAAAAUAUUUCUACAUUUUAUUGAAAAAAAAAACACUUUUUUUUUUUUGCCUGAAUAUAAGUUUGGUAGCUUGGUUUCUUUUUUAAAUUAAAUAGUGUGAAAAUAUAAUGGUCAUUUUGAAAACUUUUAGCCAAAAGUAGUAACUUUUUGAUACUUUAGUAUUUAUGGAAACUAGUGGAAAAGAGAAAUUAGUGUGCUAUGUAAACCAGGCAUUCAAAUAACAUUAGUAGUACAGGAUAUAUGUGUUUUCUUUCCCUGAUAUUUAGGAAAAUCACAGCAGGGUAAAUCUUUCCUGGAGUUAUCUGAAUCAUCGGCAUUUAUCCGAUUCCACUGGUGGUGGUUUGCUAGUGCUUCUAAAAGUUGCUCUCUAGCACUGAGAGGUGUGGGUAGGUAAAAACGUGUUUGCUUGAGAAAACAAAAAUGCUAACAAGGUUUUAAUAGAUUGGCCCAAAAUUCCAACUUGAGUAUUAAGAAUUACUAGCAAUGGUAGAAUUGACAGAGAUAAUUGGUAAAGUCUCUUGAUGCCCAAUUGAUUAGGUAUGAAAGUAAUACGAACACAUUAAUGUUGACAUUAAUGUGUUUACAGACAGUAUAUUAUCUGAAAAGAAUUGAUUCCAUGUAGUCUUCAAUUUUUAAUUUUUAAGAAUUGUAAUAUUAGUGUUUAUAAAUGUGAGUAAAUUAAGUUUAUAU